rnacentral:rRNA from 1 species
UACGGAAGGCAGCAGUGGGGAAUAUUGCACAAUGGGCGCAAGCCUGAUGCAGCCAUGCCGCGUGUAUGAAGAAGGCCUUCGGGUUGUAAAGUACUUUCAGCGGGGAGGAAGGCGAUGUGGUUAAUAACCGCGUCGAUUGACGUUACCCGCAGAAGAAGCACCGGCUAACUCCGUGCCAGCAGCCGCGGUAAUACGGAGGGUGCAAGCGUUAAUCGGAAUUACUGGGCGUAAAGCGCACGCAGGCGGUCUGUUAAGUCAGAUGUGAAAUCCCCGGGCUUAACCUGGGAACUGCAUUUUGAACUGGCAGGCUUGAGUCUCGUAGAGGGGGUAGAAUUCCAGGUGUAGCGGUGAAAUGCGUAGAGAUCUGGAGGAAUACCGGUGGCGAAGGCGGCCCCUGGGACGAAGACUGACGCUCAGGU